CUGGUCUGUGGUGUUCUUCCUGGCCGGUCGUGAGAACGCGUCUAAUAACAAGGGCCCUCAGAUCUUUGUUCUCAUUUCCUUCCUGCACAGCCCCCCUUCCUGACUCCCCUUCCGGUUUGUAAGUUUCGGAGAAACUCUUGCUUUCAAGGGGCUUCCUCAGGGGGUGAACUAGAAACAGGAGACUCCAGAGCUGUCCCACGGGACCACUGCAGGCAGACUACAGGGUAACACAAGGCCAAAUGAUCUUCAGGGGGAGCGGCAAAAUCCCAUCUCUGGAAAUGUCAACUGCACCGAGGAGAAGGAUCGUCCGGAGUGCACUGGAGCAAGGAGGAGGGUUUCACGACCCCUAAAGCCCUUUGUAACCCCAGAUGCCAUCCCCCAGAUGAAAACAGUGAAGCCAGAGGUGGUGAGGAAAUGGAGAUGCCAAAAGAGAGGCAGAUGGGGAGGGGGGUCCCCGCAGAGUUCUCUUCUGCUUUCCGGUUUCCCUGGAGGGCUGGCUCUAGCUUCUCUGCCUGCCUCUGUCAAUUUCCAUCAGUGUCCGAUUUCACUUGAUAAGGAAGCAGAGGGAGGGGGAGGGGGCCUCACCAGGCUCUGCAGGGAACAGUAAUGGCCCUGAAGCAGAAACAGGUGCUCCCUUCCUCGAUGUCAACGCUUCCGGCCCCAUCCCGGGCCAUACAAUAACAGCGGGGAAAUUAAAUUUAACAGGAGAGAAAACACAAGCCUAAUUAAAGCAAGGGUUGUUUUGAACUCUGCAAAUAUACCGUGUAAAGCGGACAAAGAACCCCGGCCAGCCUAUUUCCGAGUUCCAGAGAAGAAAGAACAAUACAGUCAGGUCAACAAGCCGGGGGCCCUAGGGCCCCGUUGUCCUGGACAGGAUAUAAAGAUGAAUAGCUUCUUUUCUUACCCUCAAAAUACUCCCAGGCUCCAACUGCACCAGAAAGCUAAACAACAAAUGAUAAGGAAAUGUGCACUAUAAAACAUGCUUCGAUCUGCGUUACCAGAAGACGAUAUGGAAUCUCCCUGGAAAUUGCAAGCAACUUCCCUGUGGCAUCCAUGUGUGUACAAUGCUACAUGCCUGACUGCAGGUAGAGUCCUUGCCCUCCUACCCUGUCAACCAAAGAUCCAGCAAGUGAAUGAGAAGCAUGGAGACAUGAGAAACAGAAGCCCUUGCCUUCCAGGUGGUUGGAGGUUGCUUUUGCCAGGUCAUCUUUAUAGCAAGAGGAAAAGAAACUAUCACAGAAGGGAAGAGGGGCAGCAAGAGAGAAGCUAGAACUUUCUUGGCCGAAAAUUAUAAUGAAUUAGGUAAAAACCAAAGAAUAAAAAGCCAGGUCCUCAAAGGCAUUGAGCCAAUCCUCCUCCUUCAGAAGACUUCCUUGCGUUUGGCAGAAGACCUAUGGACGGAACUCACCACAGGGUGUGGGUUAGACUGGGAAGUGGAACUGAGGAACUAGUUAGCUUUUGUCACUUCACGGGGUUUCCUCCUGCAAGCUCCUCCCUGCGGAUUACCCCUGGCACCCCAACCUACCCCAUCCUCAAAUGUGUUGCUGCUGCCCCCUGCUGGAUGAACCCUGUCAGACCCCCCACACACACACACACAACCCCUACUGGAAGGCCGCCAUUUUCCACAUGCAGGCAGGAGCUGUAGGAGGCAGGCAGGCAGUAAAAUAGUAUUUAAACAUAGCCAGAGACCAAAAUAAAUCCGUUCUGGAAAAGGUCUGAAACCUCUGGCUAGUAAUCAAUAUACAAGCUUGUGAAAGAGGGAGAGCAAGAGCGAAUGGGGGCAGAAAGCCACCUGGAGGGGGAGGCAUGAAGGCCUCAACUGUCUGCCUUGUGCCCUGGAUCCAUCUGAAGUAAACUCCCCUCCCCAAAGACAGUGUUAUACGCUCAGGGAGGUUUGCAAAGACUACAUGGCUAAGAGAACACCUUUCAAGCUCUUCAGUGGCCCUUUCUUCCCUCUUAUUCCAGAGAUCCAGACUUAGCCAUUACCUUCCAUGUUAGCCUUGCUUCACAUGCCUCCCCAUCUCCCAGCCGUUGUUCCCGUUCAACUGACCUUUUCACAGUGCCCACGUUCUCCCUCCUCGCCCCACUGUCACUCUAGCAUCUAUGUUCUCUCCUACUCACACCCCAACACUUAACAAUCUAUUAAUAGCAUCUCUGUGUGUGUGUGUAUAUGUGCAUAUAGAGAUGAAACAAAACUGAACAAAAAUGAAAUAACAGAAAUGUAUAUAGAGAGAUGGAUAGAUAUAGAUAUAUAUAGAGAGAAGGUUUCUCUGUGUAGCUCUGGUUGUCUUGAAAUUUACUCUUAGACUGGCCUCAGACUCACAGAGAUCCACCUGCCUCUGCCUCCAGAGAGCUGGGAUUAACAGGUGUGCACCACUGUGCCUGGCCAGAAGAGAUAAAUUACUUAAACCAAUAAUUUCUUCAUUGUAUUUUGUAUCUUUUGAAUUUUGAACUAUGUAACCAUAACUCAUAUUCAAAAAAUAAAAUCAUUUUUUGUUUAGUUUUUUUUUAAAAGAUAGGGUCUCAUAUAGCCUAGGCUGGCCUCAGAUUUGAUAUGCAGGCAAGAAUAACUAUCCUUGAACUCCUGAUCAUCCUGCCUCCACUCACAAGUUCUGGGAUUAGAGGUAUCCAUCACCAAGACCAAGGCAGUUCGGGGAGCAAGCCCAAGGCUUCCUGCACAGGCAAUCACCUUUUCACCAACUGAGGCAUGCCUCCAGCCCUUAUUGGUUUGCUUUUAAUCAGAAGUAGAUGAGAAAUCUUGGAAACAUAACAUAUAUAGUAAUUUAAAAUAAUCAGUGGACAGAAUAAACUCUGCUUUAAACAUGAACUGUGAACUAGAACAUGGUAAAGGAGCCGAGUAUGGUAUCACAUGCCUUUAACCCUAGCACUCAACAAACAGGUGGGCAGAGCUCUGAAAGUUCAAGGCCAGCCUGAUCUACAUCUACAUGAGGAGUUUCAGGAUAGACAGGGCUACAGAGAAAGAUCUUUUCUCAAAACAAACAAACAAACAAAAAUACAAAUUAAAUAGCUGUACACUCCAAAAGGACCCUAUUACCCUACAAUAUAUAAUCACAGCUCAAUGCCAGAAAGACAAGCCACCCACUUUAAUAGCAGGAAUGAUUUUAAACAGACUUAUUUUAUUUGGUUUUUUUGAGACAGGGUUUCUCUAUAUAGUCCUGGCUGACCUGGAACUCACUCUAUGUAGACCAGGCUGGCCUCGAACUCACAGAAGAUCCACCUGCCUCUGCCUCCCUAGUGCUGGGAUUAAAGGUAUUCGAUACAAAACAGGCAUUUUAAAUAUACUCUAAAGCAUUACAAAAUCCAUAUUCAGUGUCACUUGUAAAGAUGCCUAGAAUUAUAAAGAGAGAAGAGGAUGGGAAGAAGAGAGAUGGGAGGGAGAGGAAUAGGUAAGGAUACAGAAAGAUGGACACCCUCCUGCUCCAAUGGAGGGAUGGGCCUGCUGUGGAAAACGCUAUUCUCAUAGACUUAUUGUGUAGCCUACUAAUGCUCCUCCUAAAUAACUCUACUCAAAAAUUUUAAAACAUUUAACUAUAGUUAUGCAAAGCUGUAUAUAACUUCGUAGCAGUACUGUUGAUAAUAUCAAAAUUUGUAACCAGGGGGCUGAAAAGAUGGCUGAGAAUGGAAUCUGGGCACCACAGACUGGAUCUGGCUCGGGGCUGGGAGGAAGAGGGACUCUGGUUAGUCCUGCAGGGGGAGUUCUUGGCUUGGCUUGGCUUGGUGGCUGGGAGUGCAGAGAGGCCUUCUACUGGAGUUUAAAUAGCAGCUCUGAAGGCAAAGGGCAUCUCUGUGGCUCCCUAUGGCAGAUCUCGAUGAAAAGAGGCAGUCCAUGGUUUUAAGGCAUUUAUUGUCAUGGCAGAAAGUGUAUGUGUAAAACUGUACCCCACUUUUCAGGGUGGGCCUGAGGUUAAAUACCUUUUGCAGGGAGGAGUAUCUGGGGAGGCAAGCUUAUUGGCUAAGCUCUCCAGGCCUUUAGGAACUUCAUUAAAAUGGAAAUCUGUUUUGAGACUAUGUGACGACAGAUCAUGUCCUCUGCAUGUGAGGGGCUUGGGGCGUUGUUCUUAACGCGACUGAUGGCCACAAAUCUAUGGGGGUAUUCCAAAAAAAAAAAAAAAAAAAAAAAAAAACCAUAAAUUUUUGUAAGGCAGUGGUGGAGCACACCUUUAAUUCCAGCACUUGGGAGGCAGAUUUCUGAGUUUGAGGCCAGCUUGGUCUAUGCAGUGAAUUCCUGGACAACCAUGGCUACUCUGAGAGACCCUGUCUCCAAAAAAUAAGUAAAUAAAUCUUAUUCCCAAUUUAAAAACCGACAGUAAUCAACUCAGAUGCCAUAAAGAAAGCAACUUUGGGGCUGGAGAGGUAGCUCAGUGGUUAAGAGCACUGGCUGCUCUUCCAGAGGUCCUGAGUUCAAUUCCCAGCAACCAUAUGGUGGCUCACAACCAUCUGUAAUUGGAUCUGAUGCCCUUUUCUGGUGUGUCUGAAGGCAGCUACAGUCUACUCAUAUAAAUAAAAAUAAAUAAAUCUUUAAAAAAAAAAAAAGAAAGCAACUUUGCAUUACUUACAUGGAACUCCACUAGGCUGGUAAUUCAUCUCUUGUUCUCUGGAGGACAGAGUGACUCAAAGCUAUACAUUUGUGAAGACUGAUCUGGGCACACUGGUCUCACAUUGGCUUUCCUCUGGGGUUUAAAACUGUUCCUCGUGCCCUAUCUGGAGAUGUGAUGUUCCUUCUGACCUGCUUGUGUAACGUAUGUGGCUUAAUCUGCUAGGCUCUUGCUGACCAGUAAACUUACAUCCUGCUCUCUGUCCACACUGAAGGCAGUAUUUUGCCACACCAGAUACUGCUCCCUUAUUUCUCAGUGUGUUCUACACUUAAAUGGGAAGCUCUGUGCUACCUGGACCCUCGGACAGUAUUACAGAUACAAAUAACAGCAAUGACGAGGGAUGAGAAGACAUUUGUCAUAAAGACAUCAGAACUUCCCAGAUCUAUUCCUUUAACGUGUGCAUUGAUCUGCAGUUUAUCUUUUUAAUUUUCAGUAAGCUUGACAAGCUAAGUUUAAAAUCUGUAUGGAGGGAGGACUGUGACAUGACUUUAAUCUCAGUAUUCAGGUGGCAGAGGCAGGUGGACCUCCCAAGACUAUAGAGAGAGAUGCUGUCUCCAUCAAUCAAUCAAUCAAUCAAUCAAAUCUAUAUGCUGGAGCAAAAGGUUAAGAAUAACCAGAGGAAGCUGGGCGUGGUAGCGCACACCUUUAAUCCCAGCACUCGGGAGUCAGAGGCAGGCGGAUUUCUGAGUUCGAGGCCAGCCUGGUCUACAAAGUGAGUUCCAGGAUAGCCAGGGCUACACAAAGAAACCCUGUCUCGGGGAAAAAAAAAAAAAAAAGGAAAAGCAAGCAAGCAAGCUGAGCAAGCCAGGGGAAGCAAGCUGGUAAGUAACAUCCUUCCAUGGCUUCUGCAUCAGCUCCUGCUUCCUGACCUGCUUGAGUUCCAGUCCUGACUUCCUUUGGUGAUGAACAGCAGUAUGGAAGUGUAAGCUGAAUAAACCCUUUCCUCCCCAACUUGCUUCUUGGUCAUGAUGUUUGUAUAGGAGUAGAAACCCUGGCUAAGACAGACAUAUAUGAAAGUAACAUCUUUUUUUUUUUUAAGUAUCACAAUGUUUAUUGAUAGAUACAAGUAU
rnacentral:lncRNA from 1 species